rnacentral:lncRNA from 1 species
UAACAAUUAAUUACAAUUAAAAAAAUAAAUUAAAAUAAAUAAAUAAAUGAAAGCAAAAGGGACUUUUGAGAAGAAAGAAUGUGUUUCAAACUUUUUGAAAGAUCUAAGAGGAUAAUGGUAAAUAGUAAGAAAAAGCCCAAAAUUUUGAAACUAGAUGAUUAUUGGUGAAUUCCAGAGGUGAAGGUGGGUAUUGACAAGAGAAUCCAAAAAGUCUAUAGAAUAUGUUCUGGAAAAGGAGGAGGGAAGUGAGGUCUAGGCCUCCCAAGUGAUCAAUUUUGAGGAAAUGCAGGGUACGAGGGUCUGGAGGUCUCAAAGUGGUCAAAGACUUGUAUUAGAAGCAAAGGAAUGAGAAUUUAUGGAAGAACUGUGGUCCCAAAGCUUUCGUAUUUGAAUUUACGUGUUAGAAGUUGGACAGUUUCACAAGGCUUUGGGUGUGGCCAUAGGAACUGGCAUUUGUGGUGGUAUGAACUGUACUCUAGAUAUUAUGGACAUACUUCCUAAGAAAUGAAAAUCUCCUUAAAGUUGGGGAGCAUAUCUUUUUCCCUCUGCUUCUUUGGUGUUGCCUGGGAUCCCAUAAAUAUCCAAUAAGUAUUUUAAGUUAUAAUGAAUUAAAGCCUUAUUUUUCAGAAAUUCUGCCACCCUAGUUCUUACAGUAUUUUGAUAGACUUAUCCCGCAGUUAGUUCUAUUACAGCAUCUUAAAAAGUAAUUAGCAUCAGUUGUAUCUAUUUCCUCAUCACUUCCUCUCAAGCAGUGAAAUUUUUUUUCAUUUUUAUACCAUUGGGCUUUCAGGAAUGAAUUUGCAGUUGAAGCCAGUGAGCAUAUUUUUUGGCAAUUAUGAUAAAGUUGACAACAAGAAACCUGGGAACAGGUUUUUAAAACAUGCGUCUGGUUCUUGGGAGGGUUUUUCAACUCCAGCAACUGCAGACAUCAUCGAAAUUCCAUGAUAUAAUCAACUCGGUACUUGAAAUGCUGAUGACUAAUCCCAGGAAUUGCACAUCCAAGCAGUCAAACUAGUAUAUUAUGAGUCAUAGAAGUGUGGACUUAGAGUCAGUAAGAACACCCAGGAAAAACUGCAUAUGUUUAGAGAUACUGAUUGAGAAGUAAGGAUAAGAGAAAUGCCCAAUUCUAUUAAAAAUCUUGUGCCAGGAUUAUACCAUCAGUUCUCAGACUAAUUACAUCAAGGGUAAGUAUAGUAUCUUCGUAAAGUUUUUACUCCCAAACAUACUUACUUCCAUUUAGAGGUGUUUAGUAUGAUGCAUAUUAAAUAAAGAGUAUAUAGGAAACUGUGUUUCGAAUUAUUCUUGAAUUUUGAUUCUCAGACCUUACUUUAUAAUUAUUGAAUCUGCAUUUCUGGAGAGUGAGACCCAAACAAAUGUAUUUUUAGUAAGUGUCCAAAGUGGAUUGCAUGUACCUUAAAAUUUGAGAGGCUCUGAAAUAGAAGCUUAGUUAAUGAGAUUUUUCUUCCUAAAUUGUCUUGGUGCAUAUACCACAUAUACUCAUUAACCAAAUGAGUAGAGACACGGUGAUCCUGGGAGUAUUCUAUUAUUUAAGUUGUUACUGCCAGUUUCUGGCAUUUUCAGCAAUAGAGAACUGUUAAUAAGGAGAAAUGGCUUGACAUGAAAAGAAGACAGACUUUGGAGUUAAAGACAAAGUGAGAUCAAAUCCUGGCUCUUUCACUGUGUGCUUUUGGCCAAAUCAAUCAUUGUUCAUGAGUCUCAGUUUUUCUCAUUUGAAAAAUGGAGGAAAUGACAUCUGUGUAAUAGGCAAGUAUUUAUGGGAAUUCAGUGAGGGCAUGAGAAAUCAUGGUGAGUUAAGUAGUAGAGGUGAAAUGAAGCCUGUGAAGGGAAGUAGUGAGAGAUAAAACUAGAAAUAAAAGCAGGAUCCAGAUUAUGAAUGGUCUUAUAGGAAAUCAAUUGAGCCUGGUGAUAAUAGUUUCCCAAGUCCCAGGACAUUACCUCCUCGUCUUUAUUAAAGAUACCUAAAUAGUUCUUCUGUCUCCUUGAAUAACCUCAGUCACAUUUAAUUCAAGCCCCACCAUCUAAGAAUCAUGAAGAAAAUGAUAGGCACACAGCUUUAAGAAGCAACCUAAAUAUUCAUCAGCAGAGGAUUGAAUAAAGAUAUAUAUAUAUAAUGGAAUGUUAAUAUAUAUAAUAUAUUUAAUGGAAUAUAUAUAUACACACACACAUAUAUAAUGGAAUGUUAAUAUAUAUAAUAUAUUUAAUGGAAUAUUACGCAGCCAUAAAAAAGAGUGAAAUAAAGCCAUUUGCAGCAACAUGGAAGGACCUAGAAACUAUCAGAAUAAGUGAAGUAAGUCAGACAAAGAAAGACAACUAUCAUAUGAGAUCACUAGUAUGUGGGAUCUACUAAAAAUGAUACCAAAGAACUUACGAAAUAGAAACAGACUCAAAGAUUUUGAAAACCAACUUUAUGGUUACCGAAGGGGAAACUUGGGGUGGGAGGGAUAAUUAGGGGGUUGGAAUUGACAUAGAUACACUACUAUAUGUAAGGUAGAUAGAUAGCAAGGACCUACUGUAUAGCACAGGAUAAUCUACUCCUUGGUGUAAUAACCUAUAUGGGAAAAGAUUCUGAAAAUGAAUGGAUAUAUGUAUAUUAUGACUGACUUACUUUGCUGUAUACCUGAAACUAACACAACUUUGUAAGUCAACUAUACUCCAGUAAAAUUUAUUUUAAAAAAAGAAUUGCAGUUCCCUUCAUGUCUCAGUGGAAAUCUGACCAGCAUCCAUGAAGAUACAAGUUCGAUCCCUGGUCUUGCUCAGUGGGUUAAGGAUCUAGCAUUGCCAUGGGCUGUGGUGUAGUUUGCAGACACUGCCCAGAUCUGGCGUUGCUGUGGCUGUGUCGUGGGCUGGAAGCUACAGCUCCGAUUUGACCCCUAACCUGGAAACUUCCAUAUGCCAUGGGUAUGGCCCUAAAAAGACAAACAAACAAAAAAAACCCAAAACAAAUAAAAAAAAAAUCCUUCAGAACUCAGGAGGGAGAAGAGAUAGUGCUAAUCCUGCCACCAGCAGGAGGGGUUGCUCAUGAAAUCUUUUUUUUUUUUUUUUUUGUAUUUUUAGGGCCACACCUGUGGCAUGUGGAGGUUCCCAGGUGAAUCGGAUCUGUAGCCACUGGCCUACACCACAGCCAUAGCAACACCAGAUCUGAGCCACAUCUGCAACCUACACCACAGCUCAUGGCAACACCAGAUCCUUAACCCACUGAUCGAGGCCAGGGAUCAAACCUGCAACCUCAGGGUUCCUAGUCGGAUUUGUUUCCACUGUGCCACGAUGGGAACUCUUGCUCGUGAAAUCUUGAGCAGUCUCAGUGGAGGUUGCCAGGGAUCAGGGAGGGAUAUACUCACUGACAGUGAAGCAUCAACAAGUAUUCCUCGAGCACACAUUGGGCUUAGAGCUGAGGAUGUGAAUAUAAGUGAGGGAUGUGUGCUGUUAACUAACAAAAUCUAUUGGGAGAAUAUAUGCAGGUAAAAAUUAAUUAAAAGGUCACAUGACAACUUUUGUAAUAGAAAUUUGUGCAAAAUUCCAUAGGAGAAAACCAAAGAGGAAACAUUAAUCUGCUUUAAAGAGUGGGGGGUCUUCAGAGAGAAGUCAACAUUUGAGGUGAAUCUUGACGGGAUAUGGAGGAUGUCUGAAGAUGGAAGAGGAUGUUGGGGAGGGAAAUGCAUCAUUCUAGAGGGAGCAGACUAUGCCAAAGUCACAAUGAACCAAAGACUAGAGAGUUGAAAGAGACAUGUUUUGGCACGUGAUUGCUUUUUUGGGUUAGCUCUGCUAUAACUGGCUGUGCUUUAUUUUGCUCCAAGAGGAAACACGGGCAAACUUCCUUUUUUUCUGCUGUUGAGUGGGUUACAAAGGGCCCCACAGGGAUGGCACGCCUUGUGGGACAUCAUUCUCUCUUCCCCCUGCAUUGCUUCAUCCAGACACACCCUAGCAGGUGACUUUGCAAUCAUCACUCACUUGUGUUCUCACAUCAGCCCACACCUCAGAAUUAUUUUUCUGAAGGCUAAGGUACUCCUUUCUUGGUGUUUGUUCAACAGUUGGUUUAUGUUGCUCAUCUGUGAAGCAUCUUAAGAUGCCCUGUGAUAAGUUGCUUCUCCUCAACACAAGUUGAGGAUAAGACUCUGGACGGGAAAGUUUCAUGUCCAUUUUAUCUAUACAACCAGAACCUAAAACAACUCUCUUAAAUGCUGGUUAUUUCUCUCCAAACAUUUGUUUAACAAUUUAUCACUAUUCCCUAUCUGUUAUAGUAUCAUCUUUCUGGAGGAUGGAUGAUCUCAGCCUGUGUGUGUGUGUGUGUGUGUGUGUGUGUGUGUGUGUGUGUUUGUGUUGAUGUGUAUGUUUUUGCUGUAAACUCCUCACAAUAUACUGAAGAUUCUCCUCUCUCAUUGUCUUUUGUUUAUGGUCAAGACUUUUGGAUUUAGAAAAAGUCUCAUAGGGCCAGAGAUCCCAUCGUGAAAUCUCCACAGGUCUUUCUUCCUAACUCUAGAAAUAAGGGCUUGUUGGCAUUGAAGGAGACCUUACCCAUAAAGCCUGCUAGGGCCAGGAUUCUUCCAUGACAAGGUCUUCAUAAAAAGCAAUUUGACUUUCAGCAGUUACUUCCUCUUUAAAAAGAGAAUUUCCCAGAGGCCUUCUUUUUUUGUGAGGCAGGUGGUACACAUGCCUACGGCACGAUGCGGUCCAAGAGCCAGCAGAGAUUCCACUUGCCCCUCAAAUGCCCUUCUUCCACCCAUGAUUAGAUUCCAACAAAUACUUGGUAUAAGAAUACCCAUCAAGGGAGUUCCCGUCAUGGCUCAGUGGUUAACGAAUCCAACUAGAAACCAUGAGGUUGUGGGUUCGAUCCCUGGCCUCGCUCAGUGGGUUAAGGAUCCAGCAUUGUGGUGAGCUGUGGUGUAGGUUGCAAACAAGACUUGGGUCCCACGUUUCUGUGACUGUGGCCUAGGCCAGCGGCUACAACUCCAAUUGGACCCCUAGACUGGGAACCUCCAUAUGCCAUGAGUUUUCGGCCCUAAAAAGACAAAAAGAUCAAAAAACAAAAACAAAAACCUAAAAAUUAAUUCAAAUUUUAAAAUAUUUAUAAAAUAUUUCAAAUAUUUAUAAAAGUUAAUCAUAUUUAUAAAAGUUAAUCAUAUUUAUAAAUUUAAUAAAAUAUAAAUAAAAUUAAUUGGAAUUUUAGUAACUAUUUCCUUGAUACAUAUUUGUAGUAAUUCAAUCUAGUAAAAAGCUUUUAUAUAAAUGGUAUAUGAAUAUUUAAAAAGGGAACUGCAAACUUUAAAAGCAGAAACCACCUGGAAUUCCCAUCGUGGCUUAGUGGUUAACGAAUCCGACUAGGAACCAUGAGGUUGCGGGUUUGAUCCCUGGCCUUGCUCAGUGGGUUAAGGAUCUGGUGUUGCCCUGAGCUGUGGUGUAGGUCACAGACUCGGCUUGGAUCUGGCAUUGCUGUGGCUCUGGUGUAGGCCAGCGGCUAUAGCUCCAAUUCGACCCCUAGCCUGGGAACCUCCAUAUGCUGCAGG